rnacentral:rRNA from 1 species
UAAGGUUAAGUUAAUAAGGGCGCACGGUGGAUGCCUUGGCACUAGAAGCCGAAGAAGGACGUGACAAACGACGAAAUGCUUUGGGGAGCUGUAAGUAAGCGCUGAUCCAGAGAUGUCCGAAUGGGGGAACCCACUAACUAAUGGUUAGUAUCCAUAACUGUUAAGGUUAUGAGAAGGAAGACGCAGUGAACUGAAACAUCUAAGUAGCUGCAGGAAGAGAAAGCAAACGCGAUUGCCUUAGUAGCGGCGAGCGAAACGGCAGGAGGGCAAACCGAAGUGUUUACACUUCGGGGUUGUAGGACUGCGACGUGGGACUUUAAAAGGAUAGAAGAAUUACCUGGGAAGGUAAGCCAAAGAGAGUAAAAGCCUCGUAUUUAAAAUUCUUUUGAGCCCUAGCAGUAUCCUGAGUACGGCGAGACACGUGAAAUCUCGUUGGAAUCUGGGAGGACCAUCUCCCAACCCUAAAUACUCUCUAGUGACCGAUAGUGAACCAGUACCGUGAGGGAAAGGUGAAAAGCACCCCGGGAGGGGAGUGAAAUAGAACCUGAAACCGUGUGCCUACAACAAGUUCGAGCCCGUUAAUGGGUGAGAGCGUGCCUUUUGUAGAAUGAACCGGCGAGUUACGAUAUGAUGCGAGGUUAAGUUGAAGAGACGGAGCCGUAGGGAAACCGAGUCUUAAUAGGGCGAUUUAGUAUCAUGUUGUAGACCCGAAACCAUGUGACCUACCCAUGAGCAGGUUGAAGGUGAGGUAAAACUCACUGGAGGACCGAACCAGGGCACGUUGAAAAGUGCUUGGAUGACUUGUGGGUAGCGGAGAAAUUCCAAACGAACUUGGAGAUAGCUGGUUCUCUCCGAAAUAGCUUUAGGGCUAGCGUCGAUGUUAAGUCUCUUGGAGGUAGAGCACUGUUUGGGUGAGGGGUCCAUCUCGGAUUACCAAUCUCAGAUAAACUCCGAAUGCCAACGAGAUAUCAUCGGCAGUCAGACUGCGAGUGCUAAGAUCCGUAGUCGAAAGGGAAACAGCCCAGACCACCAGCUAAGGUCCCAAAAUAACUGUUAAGUGGAAAAGGAUGUGGGGUUGCACAGACAACUAGGAUGUUAGCUUAGAAGCAGCUAUUCAUUCAAAGAGUGCGUAAUAGCUCACUAGUCGAGUGACCCUGCGCCGAAAAUGUACCGGGGCUAAAACAGUUUACCGAAGCUGUGGAUGACACAAAAGUGUCAUGGUAGGAGAGCGUUCUAUGUGUGAAGAAGGUGUACCGUGAGGAGCGCUGGAACGCAUAGAAGUGAGAAUGCCGGUAUGAGUAGCGAAAGACAGGUGAGAAUCCUGUCCACCGUAAGACUAAGGUUUCCAGGGGAAGGCUCGUCCGCCCUGGGUUAGUCGGGACCUAAGGAGAGACCGAAAGGUGUAUCCGAUGGCCAACAGGUUGAUAUUCCUGUACUAGAGUAUAUAGUGAUGGAGGGACGCAGUAGGCUAACUAAACCGGACGAUUGGAAGAGUCCGGCUAAGCAGUGAGGUGUAAGAUGAGUCAAAUGCUUAUCUUUAUAACAUUGAGCUGUGAUGGGGAGCGAAUU